ensembl:lncRNA DPY19L2P3 DPY19L2 pseudogene 3
CUGCGAGAUUAAUUUCACAGGGGAUUAAUUUCUCAUUUACAAAUAAAAAUGUAAUCAUAGCCUCCUGGUAUCGCACAUCCAUGGGAAUACUGAAUUUAUUUGGACUAGAAACUAACACCUGCUGGAAUGUCACCAGAAUAGAACCUCUUAAUGAAGUUCAAAGCUGUGAAGGAUGUCAUGCCCAGAGCUGUAGCGGUCAUCUUGUGACCAUAAGGGAAAGGCCAUAAAAAUAGCAGAUAUAUCUGGCCUACCAUCCUUCUGCUGCUGAACCAAUGCCAACAGUGGGACUCAACUAGGAGGUCUUAUUACAGUACUGUGCUGCUUUUUCAACCAUGGAGAGGUCACUCGUGUGAUGUGGACACCACCUCUCCGUGAAAGUUUUUCCUAUCCAUUUCUUGUACUUCAGAUGUAUAUUUUAACUUUGAUUCUCAGGACCUCGAGCAAUGAUAGAAGGCCCUUCAUUGCACUCUGUCUUUCCAAUGUUGCUUUUAUGCUUCCCUGGCAAUUUGCUCAGUUUAUACUUUUUACACAGUGCAAAUCACCUGGUCAUGAAGUCUUUAUUUUGCCUUCAUUUUUGAAAGGCAAUAAUUCUAAAGGAAAUAAAAUUUAAAAACUGGGAGUAUCUGAACUCAACUUUUGGGUAGUGCCUGGUGGUGUGGAACAAUCAUUUUGAAAUUUCUGACAUCUAAAAUCUUAGGCGUUUCAGACCACACUGUUCGUGAUAUUUCGUGUGUUUUAGCUACAAACACUUAUCUAAGAUGCUGUCUUCGCAGUGCCAUGCCUACAAUGGCAAGCGUGAAGCUGUCUACACUUCAUCCCAUUGUGAAUCAUCCACAUUACGAAGAUGCAGACUUGAGGCCUGGUUGCAGUAUGCUUGAAAUCUGGGAUGUGGAAGACCCUUCCAAUGCAGCUAACCCUCCCUUACGUAGCAUCCUGCUCGAAGAUGCCAGGCUCGAAGAUGCCAGUAUUUCAGAAUAGUGUGUACAGAGUAUUGAAGGUUAACUGAGAAGGAAACUACCCAUUACACUAUGGCACAAUGCCGUGUGUCAAAAACAAUCACCCUUUGGCUUAUUUACAUUAAUAAAAAUCACAAGCUUUAAUAACAGACACUUAAAAAUAAGAUAAAAA